rnacentral:rRNA from 1 species
CCUACGGGGGGCUGCAGUGGGGAAUAUUGGACAAUGGGCGAAAGCCUGAUCCAGCCAUGCCGCGUGUGUGAAGAAGGCCUUCGGGUUGUAAAGCACUUUCAGUGGGGAAGAAAGCCUUGGGGCUAAUACCCUCGAGGAAGGACAUCACCCACAGAAGAAGCACCGGCUAACUCCGUGCCAGCAGCCGCGGUAAUACGGAGGGUGCGAGCGUUAAUCGGAAUUACUGGGCGUAAAGCGCGCGUAGGCGGUCUGAUAAGCCGGUUGUGAAAGCCCCGGGCUCAACCUGGGAACGGCAUCCGGAACUGUCAGGCUAGAGUGCAGGAGAGGAAGGUAGAAUUCCCGGUGUAGCGGUGAAAUGCGUAGAGAUCGGGAGGAAUACCAGUGGCGAAGGCGGCCUUCUGGACUGACACUGACGCUGAGGUGCGAAAGCGUGGGUAGCAAACAGGAUUAGAUACCCGGUAGUC